rnacentral:rRNA from 1 species
GACGAACGCUGGCGGCGUGCCUAAUACAUGCAAGUCGAACGCCGUUGCGAACGGGUGAGUAACGCGUAGGUAACUGCCUCAUAGCGGGGGGUAACUAUUUGAAACGAUAGCUCAUACCGCCUACUGUGAGCUGGACCUGCGUUGUAUUAGCUAGUUGGUGGGGUAAAGGCGCACCAAGGCGACGAUACAUAGCCGGCCUGAGAGGGUGAGCGGCCAAAACGGGAAUGGGAAAAGGCCCAGACUUCUACGGGAGGCAGCAGUAGGGAAGUAUCGGAAAAGGAGGGAAGUCUGAACAAGGAAAGGCGCGGGAGAGGAGAAGGGGUUCGGAGCGGAAAGCUAUGUUGUGAGAGAAGCGGUAACUAAAGAGAAAGGGACGGCUAACUACGUGCCAGCAGCCGCGGUAAUUC